rnacentral:tRNA from 1 species
GGCCUCGUAGCUCAGUUGGCUAGAGUGUUGGCUGUACUAAAGCCAUUCCCUGUUGUCAUGGGUUCGAAUCCCACCGAAGCCA